rnacentral:rRNA from 1 species
UGCAGUCGAGCGGACAGAUGGGAGCUUGCUCCCUGAUGUUAGCGGCGGACGGGUGAGUAACACGUGGGUAACCUGCCUGUAAGACUGGGAUAACUCCGGGAAACCGGGGCUAAUACCGGAUGGUUGUUUGAACCGCAUGGUUCAGACAUAAAAGGUGGCUUCGGCUACCACUUACAGAUGGACCCGCGGCGCAUUAGCUAGUUGGUGAGGUAACGGCUCACCAAGGCGACGAUGCGUAGCCGACCUGAGAGGGUGAUCGGCCACACUGGGACUGAGACACGGCCCAGACUCCUACGGGAGGCAGCAGUAGGGAAUCUUCCGCAAUGGACGAAAGUCUGACGGAGCAACGCCGCGUGAGUGAUGAAGGUUUUCGGAUCGUAAAGCUCUGUUGUUAGGGAAGAACAAGUGCCGUUCAAAUAGGGCGGCACCUUGACGGUACCUAACCAGAAAGCCACGGCUAACUACGUGCCAGCAGCCGCGGUAAUACGUAGGUGGCAAGCGUUGUCCGGAAUUAUUGGGCGUAAAGGGCUCGCAGGCGGUUUCUUAAGUCUGAUGUGAAAGCCCCCGGCUCAACCGGGGAGGGUCAUUGGAAACUGGGGAACUUGAGUGCAGAAGAGGAGAGUGGAAUUCCACGUGUAGCGGUGAAAUGCGUAGAGAUGUGGAGGAACACCAGUGGCGAAGGCGACUCUCUGGUCUGUAACUGACGCUGAGGAGCGAAAGCGUGGGGAGCGAACAGGAUUAGAUACCCUGGUAGUCCACGCCGUAAACGAUGAGUGCUAAGUGUUAGGGGGUUUCCGCCCCUUAGUGCUGCAGCUAACGCAUUAAGCACUCCGCCUGGGGAGUACGGUCGCAAGACUGAAACUCAAAGGAAUUGACGGGGGCCCGCACAAGCGGUGGAGCAUGUGGUUUAAUUCGAAGCAACGCGAAGAACCUUACCAGGUCUUGACAUCCUCUGACAAUCCUAGAGAUAGGACGUCCCCUUCGGGGGCAGAGUGACAGGUGGUGCAUGGUUGUCGUCAGCUCGUGUCGUGAGAUGUUGGGUUAAGUCCCGCAACGAGCGCAACCCUUGAUCUUAGUUGCCAGCAUUCAGUUGGGCACUCUAAGGUGACUGCCGGUGACAAACCGGAGGAAGGUGGGGAUGACGUCAAAUCAUCAUGCCCCUUAUGACCUGGGCUACACACGUGCUACAAUGGACAGAACAAAGGGCAGCGAAACCGCGAGGUUAAGCCAAUCCCACAAAUCUGUUCUCAGUUCGGAUCGCAGUCUGCAACUCGACUGCGUGAAGCUGGAAUCGC